CGCAAUUCAUCACAUCGCAAAUCCCUUCUUAUUGGAUAUCCUUCAAUUUAGUGAUCCCCACGGGAACCUAAUGACCUUCAAGUCCUAUACCUCCGCGUGUCACAUCCUUACUUCGGCAUAACCAAUCAAGAAGUUCACAUGUUCCAUGACUAGUCAAACAAUGGAUCCAACACAUAAUAAUAUAUAAACUCCACAUAUUUCGCACAUCGACAUGCUUCACUAUAAAAAUAGAGAGAUAUUCGUAAAUAGACAAAAUCAUGAUUUUCGACUACUUUGAUAACAAAUAAGAAUAUUUGAAACAUAUUACACAAAUCCACUCACCUCGUCAAUACGAAUCCCCACCAAGAACAUCGAUCGUAAACCGAGCCUCCUAAAACAAGCCAUAUAGAAAUCACCGUUGGAUCUAAGCCCAAACUUCUAGGAUAAAAAGAGGACAUCGGGACAAACCCGUAGCACUUCGCGGAUUCGAAAUUAGAGUUACAGAUCAAAAGUUAUGAUCCGUCAAAGUUUUAAGUCGUAAAUCUAGAGGGAAGAAGAAAAGAGGAGAG
rnacentral:lncRNA from 1 species